UUGACUAAUUUGAGAAUCUUGAUGUGGUUGAUUGUUUUAUAUCAAGAUAUACCUUGAAAGUUUGACAUUAUAUACACAUAUGAAUAUUAUAACUUGACACCUUACCUCUUUUCGGAAUAUGGAUUGUCAUAGAACCAACUCACAUCAGUUCAAUUUUGGUUAAAAUUCAUAACAGAUAUAUGCGAAUUGAAUCGAUUUUAAUGGGUCAUAGUUUUU
rnacentral:lncRNA from 1 species